GGGGAAUAUUGGACAAUGGGGGCAACCCUGAUCCAGCAAUGCCGCGUGUGUGAAGAAGGCCUGAGGGUUGUAAAGCACUUUCAGUGGGGAGGAGGGUUAUCGGGUUAAGAGCUGGAUAAUUGGACGUUACCCACAGAAGAAGCACCGGCUAACUCCGUGCCAGCAGCCGCGGUAAUACGGAGGGUGCGAGCGUUAAUCGGAAUUACUGGGCGUAAAGGGUGCGUAGGUGGUUAGAUAAGUUAUCUGUGAAAUUCCUGGGCUCAACCUGGGCAGGUCAGAUGAUACUGUUUAACUCGAGUAUGGGAGAGGGUAGUGGAAUUUCCGGUGUAGCGGUGAAAUGCGUAGAGAUCGGAAGGAACACCAGUGGCGAAGGCGGCUACCUGGCCUAAUACUGACACUGAGGCACGAAAGCGUGGGGAGCAAAC
rnacentral:rRNA from 1 species